GCACCAAUAGCUCAAUUGGCAGAGCAGUUGUCUUGUAAACAACAGGUUAAGAGUUCGAGUCUCUUUUGGUGCU
rnacentral:tRNA from 1 species